GGUGGGGUGAUGGCCUACCAAGGCGACGACGGGUAGCCGGCCUGAGAGGGUGUCCGGCCACACUGGGACUGAGAUACGGCCCAGACUCCUACGGGAGGCAGCAGUGGGGAAUAUUGCACAAUGGGCGCAAGCCUGAUGCAGCGACGCCGCGUGGGGGAUGACGGCCUUCGGGUUGUAAACCUCUUUCACCAUCGGCGAAGCCUUCAGCUUUUGUUGGGGGUGACGGUAGGUGGAGAAGAAGCACCGGCCAACUACGUGCCAGCAGCCGCGGUAAUACGUAGGGUGCGAGCGUUGUCCGGAAUUACUGGGCGUAAAGAGCUCGUAGGUGGUUUGUCGCGUUGUUCGUGAAAUUCCCUGGCUUAACUGGGGGCGUGCGGGCGAUACGGGCAGACUGGAGUACUGCAGGGGAGACUGGAAUUCCUGGUGUAGCGGUGGAAUGCGCAGAUAUCAGGAGGAACACCGGUGGCGAAGGCGGGUCUCUGGGCAGUAACUGACGCUGAGGAGCGAAAGCGUGGGGAGCGAACA
rnacentral:rRNA from 1 species